UGGGGAAUCUUGCACAAUGGGCGAAAGCCUGAUGCAGCGACGCCGCGUGCGGGAUGAAGGCCUUCGGGUUGUAAACCGCUUUCAGCAGGGACGAGGCCGCAAGGUGACGGUACCUGCAGAAGAAGCCCCGGCUAACUACGUGCCAGCAGCCGCGGUAAUACGUAGGGGGCAAGCGUUAUCCGGAUUCAUUGGGCGUAAAGAGCUCGUAGGCGGCCCGUUAGGUCAGGAGUCAAAUUCGGGGGCUCAACCCCCGCGCGCUCCUGAUACCGGCGGGCUUGAGUUUGGUAGGGGAAGGUGGAAUUCCCAGUGUAGCGGUGGAAUGCGCAGAUAUUGGGAAGAACACCGGUGGCGAAGGCGGCCUUCUGGGCCAUAACUGACGCUGAGGAGCGAAAGCUAGGGGAGCGAACAGGAUUAGAUACCCUGGUAGUCCUAGCCGUAAACGAUGGACACUAGGUGUGGGCGAAUGUUUCGUCCGCGCCGCAGCCAACGCAUUAAGUGUCCCGCCUGGGGAGUACGGCCGCAAGGCUA
rnacentral:rRNA from 1 species